rnacentral:rRNA from 1 species
CUCUCGGCAACGGAUAUCUAGGCCCUCGCAUCGAUGAAGAACGUAGCGAAAUGCGAUACUUGGUGUGAAUUGCAGAAUCCCGCGAAUCAUCGAGUUUUUGAACGCAAGUUGCGCCCGAAGCCAUUCGGCCGAGGGCACGUCUGCCUGGGUGUCACGCAUCGUUGCC